CUUACUGUCCAAAUAAUGCUCCAAAUACAUCCCAGCCGCCAUCUUGACAAGCUGCAAACAAAAUAAAGGCGCUUCCGGUCCGGCCGGAUAUAGAGCCGAGAGAGAGGGUUGUGGGUGAGGUGGUUGAAAUCUUUUUUUCUUCCCCCUCCUCCUCUCGACGUUAAUUUUUAGGUUAUUUUACAGCGGACCAGAAUAUCUUGAAUAUUUUAUUUUGCCUGUUACAUCGCAUUUUCACGCAGAACUAAAAAUGUUGUUGAAAACAAAUAUUGAGGACGGCUUUAAUUUUUAUGGAAAUUGCUCAUUGCUGCCUACCUCCUGCAGUUCGGCUCCGAUCCACAAACGUGACGCUACUAACUGCACAGUACCGGUGAUGAGUAUUUACAGAAGUUCAUUGCACAAAAUCAACGAUCUUUUGUCCUCGUUUUCAAUCAGACAUGGCCGCCGCGGUGAAAGGGCUCUAUUCCCUCAGCCUAUGCUGGGAGCACGUGGACGGAAGUCGCCGCAGCCAUUGGCGCGGGAGAAAAUUCAAAAAAUGUCCCGGCUGCCGACUAACCGCUGUUAGCCGACUAGCCGCUGCCUGGCCUGGAGGUUUACAGGCGUCUUAUGCGAGUCUCAGGGAGCGAAGCCGAGCAGUUAGGGGGAAGCGAGUGAAUAUUUGCCGUUUUGAAAGAAACUCUCUGGGGCCCCAGAGAAAAUUACAGAAACCUCAAUAAGAAAACCGAAGC